GGAUGCAAGGGCAAGCUGGCUGUGAGAUCUGCCACCCCAUUGAUUGUAAAGGUUGAUUCAGCUGAUCAGGCCAGCUAGGCACAUGUGUCCGUCUGUCCCCCUCCCUCCCCGCUCCUUGUGUUUCCCUCGCCCUUCCAUGAGAGGAGAGACUUUGUCAGGCAAGGCCUUCU